CCUCCCUUUCCCCUCCCCCUCCCCGCUUUCCACCAUUUCUUCGAACACCUUCUCCGAUCGCGCGCCGCCGCCCAUGGGGGAGGCCUCCGAGUAUGACGGGGUGGAUGUGGCGGCUGUAUCGGCGAGGUUGCUGGAGCUGGUGGCCGACGACGACGUGACGGCGCUCGUCGACCUUCUCGCCGCGCACCCGCUCCUCGCGGAUGAGCCGGCGCCGUGGUACUCUCCGGCGCGGGGCGCGGAGCCCAUGACGCCGCUCAUGGUCGCCGCCGCGUACGGGUCCCUGGCUUGCCUCGACGCCCUCCUCUCGCCGCCCCACCUCGCCGACCCCAACCGCGCAUCCGCCUCCUCGCUCUCCACCCCGCUCCACCUCGCCGCCGCGGGCGGCGCUCCAUCCGCACCCACCACCGUUUCCCGCCUCCUCGCUGCCGGCGCCGACCCUACCCUCCUUGACCAUCUCCACCGCCGGCCGUCAGACCUCGUCGCGCUGCCGCCAAACUCGUUGCCCCUCAAGAACCACAUCCUCUCACUCCUUGGCGCCCGGAAGGAGUGGCCACCGGACCCCUCACUCCCGGACAUCAAGAACGGCGCAUACGCUUCCGACGACUUCCGCAUGUAUUCCUUCAAGGUCCGCGCGUGCUCCAGGGCCUACUCCCACGACUGGACGGAGUGCCCCUUCGUCCACCCAGGAGAGAACGCGCGGCGGAGGGAUCCGAGGAAGUACCACUACAGCUGCGUGCCGUGCCCGGAGUUCAAGAAGGGCGCCGGGUGCAGGAGAGGGGACAUGUGCGAGUAUGCGCACGGGGUGUUCGAGAGCUGGCUCCACCCGGCGCAGUACCGGACGCGGCUCUGCAAGGACGGCGUCGGCUGCGCGCGCCGCGUCUGCUUCUUCGCUCACACGCCGGAGGAGCUCCGGCCGCUGUACGUGUCCACAGGCUCGGCCGUGCCGUCGCCCCGCGGGGCGAUGGAGAUGGCCGCCAUGGGGAUGGGGCUGUCAUCUCCGGGAUCUUCGUUCACGCCGCCGCUGUCGCCGUCCGGUGGAGGGAGUGGCAUGGCGUGGCCGCAGCCUAACUUGCCGGCGCUGUGCCUCCCCGGGAGCGCAGGGAACUUGCACCUGAGCCGGCUGCGCACCUCGCUGAGCGCGAGGGCCAUGGCGGUCGACGAGCUUCUGGCCUCGGGGGACUAUGACAACCACCUUGGAUCGCCUGCCUCUGUGCGGUCGGCGAGGGGGAAGGCGCUUGUGCCGUCAAAUCUGGACGAACUGUUCUCGGCGGAGAUGGCGGCCUCCCACUCGCCGCGGUACGCCGACCAGGGCGGCGCUGCGUUCUCGCCGACGCACAAGGCCGCCUUCCUGAACCAGUUCCAGCAGCAUCAGAGCUUGCUCUCGCCACGGGCUGCGGCCACCCCAGAGCCUGUCUCACCAAUGAGCUCCCGGCUGCUCGCUGCGUUGGCGCAGCGGGAGAAGAUGCAGCAGCAGACACUGCGAAGCAUGAGCUCAAGAGACCUGGGCUCCAGCGCCCCGCUCCUGGUCGGCUCACCGGUGGUGGGCUCUAGCUGGUCCAAAUGGGGCCUCCCCUCGGGCACCCCAGAUUGGGGCGCUGACAACGACGAGCUUGGCCGUCUCAAGCGGUCCUCGUCGUUUGAUCUCCGGUCUGGGGCCAACACCGAUGAGCCUGACCUCUCAUGGGUCAAUACCUUAGUAAAGGAGCCCACGCCGGAGAAAUCAUCAACCAACGGGACCAUGGCAACAGAGUCUAUUGGCAUCUUGGGCCGAUCAGCAAGCCACCACGAGAGCAUUGCCGGUGAUGACAGUGCCAUCUUGGGUCGAACAGCGAACCACCGUGAGGGCAUCAUCGACGGUGAGGAGGACGCCGCCACUGGUGUCAUCGGUGGGUGGCUCGAACAGCUCCAGCUCGAUGAGAUGGUAGUUUAGAACAACCAAACACACAGAUGAAUCAAGAGAGGUGAAAUUUUUUUGGCUGUGCUUCAACCGGCUGCUACUGCCUGCUGCUGCUAAGUUACCAGCCUCAGGACAUCAUGCUAGCAAGUACUGGUGCCACAUUCUUUUGGGGUUGUUUGGUGUAGAAGGUGAGGAGAUUUUUAGCAUUUCGAGCUUGGCCACAGGUGAAGCAAAUGGAGGAAAUGGAGCCUAAUCAACUGCAUCAAAAUUGCCAGCUUUGCCUAGAUUACGUUAUAGCAUCACACAGCAUUACAUCUAUGUGGAGUAAUCGUUGUUCAUCUGCUGUUGCUGGUUCCAAAUGCCGGAAUUAUUUUCUUCAUUCCUGCAGGGAAUUAAAACUUUCCGGGCGGGGAAAAAGAAUCCAAGGUCGGCAGGGGCAUUGACAAAGAUUGUGCUUGGAAUUUGGACGGAUCCCUUCUCUUUCUCCUGGAGGCAUUGAAAAGGAUCGGAUGGUUAACAUCAUAGUACACAUCGACCACUGCGAGGUUCACUUCUGAUGCGCUAUCGAUGAGUCCUCGUCUGCCCUGACCGAUGCAUCUUUCUUGUCAUAAUAAAACAACUGGCACGGACGGUGGCUCGGUAUGGUCGCCUCACGCCUUGGCUCACCCGCUGUGCUGACAUGUACUGUGUGACCGGGAAUACAAAAUAAAAUUGGGCUGCAUUAUCCUGGCAUGCAUAAUUUUACUACGAAGGUCUUGCACUGGAGACAAGAGCUGCUCUCGGGCCUACCAACAUGACCUGCAAAACGUGGGUGCGCCAAUAUGAACAAUUACUGUGUUAGGAGUUGCUUUAUAUAUAAAAAGUAGGGCGAGAGCCGAGAGGAGUAUGAUAAAAACUUAUUGUUUUCUUCAAGUGAUUCCAAACUAGCUCCGGUCACAAAUG